rnacentral:rRNA from 1 species
GGUUGAUCCUGCCAGUAGUUAUACGCUUGUUUCAAAGAUUAAGCCAUGCACGUGUAAGUAUAAUCUUACAGAGAAACUGCGAAUGGCUCAUUAAAUCAGUUAUAGUUUAUUUGAUGGUGGAAGUCUACAUGGAUAACCGUAGAAAUUCUAGAGCUAAUACAUGCGUCAAGGCCUGACUUUCGGGAAGGGCUGUAUUUAUUAGAUUCAAAACCAACGGCGGGGCAACCUGUCUUGAGUGGUGAUUCAUAAUAACUGAGCGAAUCGCAUUUGGUCCUUGUGGCCGGCGAUGGAU